rnacentral:rRNA from 1 species
UGUGUCGCGUCUGGAAAGAUUUAUCGGUGAAGGAUGGGCUCGCGGCCUAUCAGCUUGUUGGUGGGGUAGUGGCCCACCAAGGCGACGACGGGUAGCCGGCCUGAGAGGGCGACCGGCCACACUGGGACUGAGACACGGCCCAGACUCCCGGAGGCAGCAGUGGGGAAUAUUGCACAAUGGGCGCAAGCCUGAUGCAGCGACGCCGCGUGAGGGAUGACGGCCUUCGGGUUGUAAACCUCUUUCAGCAGGGAAGAAGCGAAAGUGACGGUACCUGCAGAAGAAGCGCCGGCUAACUACGUGCCAGCAGCCGCGGUAAUACGUAGGGCGCAAGCGUUGUCCGGAAUUAUUGGGCGUAAAGAGCUCGUAGGCGGUUUGUCGCGUCUGCUGUGAAAACCUAAGGCUCAACCUUGGGCUUGCAGUGGGUACGGGCAGACUAGAGUGCGGUAGGGGUGACUGGAAUUCCUGGUGUAGCGGUGGAAUGCGCAGAUAUCAGGAGGAACACCGAUGGCGAAGGCAGGUCACUGGGCCGCAACUGACGCUGAGGAGCGAAAGCAUGGGGAGCGAACAGGAUUAGAUACCCUGGUAGUCCAUGCCGUAAACGUUGGGCACUAGGUGUGGGGCUCAUUCCACGAGUUCCGUGCCGCAGCAAACGCAUUAAGUGCCCCGCCUGGGGAGUACGGCCGCAAGGCUAAAACUCAAAGAAAUUGACGGGGGCCCGCACAAGCGGCGGAGCAUGCGGAUUAAUUCGAUGCAACGCGAAGAACCUUACCAAGGCUUGACAUACACCGGAAAAGUGCAGAGAUGUGCUCCCCGCAAGGUCGGUGUACAGGUGGUGCAUGGUUGUCGUCAGCUCGUGUCGUGAGAUGUUGGGUUAAGUCCCGCAACGAGCGCAACCCUCGUCCCAUGUUGCCAGCGGGUUAUGCCGGGGACUCAUGGGAGACUGCCGGGGUCAACUCGGAGGAAGGUGGGGAUGACGUCAAAUCAUCAUGCCCCUUAUGUCUUGGGCUUCACGCAUGCUACAAUGGCCGGUACAAAGGGCUGCGAUACCGCGAGGUGGAGCGAAUCCCAAAAAGCCGGUCUCGGUUCGGAUUGGGGUCUGCAACUCGACCCCAUGAAGUCGGAGUCGCUAGUAAUCGCAGAUCAGCAACGCUGCGGUGAAUACGUUCCCGGGCCUUGUACACACCGCCCGUAAAGUCACGAAAGUCGGUAACACCCGAAGCCAGUGGCCCAACUCGUAAGAGAGGGAGCUGUCGAAGGUGGGACUGGCGAUUGGGACUAAGUCGUAACAAGGUAGCCGUACCGGAAGGUGCGGCUG